UGGGGAAUUUUCCGCAAUGGGCGCAAGCCUGACGGAGCAAUACCGCGUGAGGGACGAAGGCUCUUGGGUCGUAAACCUCUUUUGUUUGGGAAGAAAAACCUGACGGUACCAAACGAAUAAGCAUCGGCUAACUCCGUGCCAGCAGCCGCGGUAAGACGGAGGAUGCAAGCGUUAUCCGGAAUUAUUGGGCGUAAAGCGUCCGCAGGUGGUUUUACAAGUCUGCUGUUAAAGCGCAGGGCUCAACCUUGUAUAGGCAGUGGAAACUGUAAGACUAGAGUUCGGUAGGGGUAGAGGGAAUUCCCGGUGUAGCGGUGAAACGCGUAGAUAUCGGGAAGAACACCAGUGGCGAAAGCGCUCUACUGGGCCUGAACUGACACUGAGGGACGAAAGCUAGGGGAGCGAAAGGGAUUAGAUACCCCUGUAGUC
rnacentral:rRNA from 1 species